rnacentral:rRNA from 1 species
UACGUAGGGUGCGAGCGUUAAUCGGAAUACUGGGCGUAAAGCGUGCGCAGGCGGUUCGCUGUGUCCUGUGUGAAAGCCCCGGGCUUAACCUGGGAAUGGCAUGGGAAACUGGCGGGCUGGAGUGUGGCAGAGGGGGGUGGAAUUCCGCGUGUAGCAGUGAAAUGCGUAGAGAUGCGGAGGAACACCGAUGGCGAAGGCAGCCCCCUGGGCUAACACUGACGCUCAGGCACGAAAGCGUGGGGAUCAAACAGG